ensembl:lncRNA
AUGGCCAUCCAGUCUCUACAUAAUGAUGAUGAUGAUGAUGACAAUAAUAAUAAUAGAAGCAUAGAAUCCAAGAGUUUGGAGAGACCCCUAAGGGCCAUCCAGCCCAACCCUUUCUACUAUGCAGCAGGACACAAUCCAAGCAUUCACAACACAUGGACAACAUAUAAAUACUAUACAAUACUACACAGGGACAUAGACCCCCCUCUACCCUCACCACUUUCACAAAACAACAAAACUACACAUCCCAGAAACACUAAACUUGGCAGUACAACCCCUCAUCCAUGCCUCUACGUUCAUACAACAAAAAGAAAAGAAAAAUAAAGUCUAAUUAGGAGGGAGAGGAAUAAUUGUUUUUAUCCAAUUGCUGCCAGUUAGAAGACUAAGCUCCGCCCACUUGGUCUCCUAGCAACCCACUCAGCCAGGGGACAGGCAGAGUUAGGCCUCACUUAGGCCUCUUCCACACUGCCUAUAAAAUACAGAUUAUCAGAUUUUAACUGGAUUAUAUGGCAGUGUAGACUCAAGGUCCUUCCACACAGCUAUAUAACCCAUUUAUAAUCUUAUAUUAUCUGCUUUGAACUGGAUUAUCUUGACUCCACACUGCCAUAUAAUCCACUUCAGUGUACAUUUUAUACAACUGUGUAGAAGGGGCCUCAUAUAAUCCUGUUCUAAGCAGAUAAUAUAAGAUUAUCAAUAUACAGUAGAGUCUCACUUGUCCAACAUAAACAGACCGGCAGAACAUUGGAUAAGUAAAUAUGUUGGAUAAUAAGGAUUCAGGAAAAGCCGAUUAAACAUCAAAUUAGGUAAUCAUUAUACAAAUUAAGCACCAAAACAUCAUGUUAUACAACAAAUUUGACAGAAAAAGUAGUUCCAUGCGCAGUAAUGCUAUGUAGUAAUUACUGUAUUUACAAAUUUACCACCAAAAUAUCACAAUGAAUUUAAAACACUGACUACAAAAACAUUGACUACUAAAAGGCAGACUGAGUUGGAUAAUCCAGAACAUUGGAUAAGCACAUGUUGGAUAAGUGAGAUUCUACUGUAAUACGAAAUAAUUACUGUGGUAGAAUAAUACAGAACAAUAUAAUCUCUAAAACAAGGACAGUAAAUAAAAAGCAACACUCUGAAACCAGGGAAAUUGGGAAUUCCACAAAGGAAACAAUUAGGGCCAGCUAACACCUCCCAAGAAAGGAUUCUUACAGAAAGGAAGCUGAGAAGGAAGUGAAGCAGUGUGUAUUACUGAAGUCAUUAUUAUUACUAUCAUUACUAUUAUUACUAUUAUUGUGUUACUGUGAACUGUGAAAAUGAAUACAAUCUGGCUCCAAAUAUUCAAAAAAUCUAAAAUCAGAAUAUAUAAAUAUAAUAAAUAUAAUAAAACAGAACAAUACAAUCUGUAAAAUCAGAACACUAAAUAAAGGACAACACUCUGAAAACAGGCGAAUUCCAGACAGGAAACAAUCAGGGCCAGCUAACACCUCCCAACAAAGUAUUCCCAUCACCAAAGUCUGGCAAAUUCUGUUUUCUCGUGGCCACAGACUUUUUUUUUUUACUGUGUUUGCUCAACCACUGCAUAUGGGCACUUCUUCAUCUACACAGACAGUAGAAGCACAUAAAAUAUUGCAAAGAACACCACUCUGAAAACAAGGGAAUUCCAGACAGGAAACAAUCAGGGCCAGCUAACACCUCCCAACAAAAAAUUCACUCAGGGAGGAAGCAGCCAGGCUUUAAAGCUGCAAGGCCAUUACAUGCUAAUCAUUUUGCCUAAUUGCAGAGUCAUACUUCCCUCCAACAGACAAAAAAACCCAAUCAGAAAUAUUGUAUAUUCACAACCUUUAGGAAAUAGUAUCCCCUGAUGGCGCAGCGUGUUAAAGCGCUGAGCUGCUGAACUUCUGGACUGAAAGGUCUCAGGUUUGAAUUGGAGGAGCGGAGAGAGCCCCCACUGUUAGCCCCAGCUUCUGCCAAUCCUAAAGUUCAAAAACAUGCAAAUGAGAGUAGAUGAAUAGGUACUGCUCUGGCGGAAAGGUAAUAGCGCUCCAUGCAGUCAUGCCACAUGACCUUGGAGGAGUCUACGGACAAUGCCGGCUCUUCGGCUUAGAAAUGGAGAUGAGCCCCAACCCCCAGAAUCAAACACGACUUGACUUAAUAUCAGGGGAAAACCUUUACCCUUUACCUUAACUACCACCAAUUCCUCAAUACUUUAUUUCCCAUACCACCGGGCACAGCUAGUGUGUGUGUGUGUGUGUGUGUGUGUGUGUGUGUGUGUGUAUAUAUAUAUGACUUUUAAGUUUCCACUGAAGAAGUUAAAAGCAGAAACUUCCCAUAUUCAUAGCUUGAACAACUUUUAUAUCCCAAUAUCAAAUUUGUCUAAUUCUUCUUUGUUAGGAACCGUUUUAACCUUUUCUUUUUUUUCUGAUUGUUUUUUGAACAAUGUGUUUGCUGUUUCUGCCUGUCUUUCCAGAAAUACCUAACACUGCCAUGAUGAUAAUUUCUGCACAUACGUAUAAUUUUAAAUGAAGAUAAUGAAAAAUUAGUUGCUCAAAACCUACUUAAAGGAAAUGAAUUGCUGAAUAUCAGUAGUACUAGAGAACAGAGCUAAUAAGCCUUUGAAAGGAAAAUAUAUAUUAUGUAUUAAUAUAAUUUUCCUAAAUUAUAUUAGGUUUCAUUCAUUGAUUUAUCAAAUAGCUCCACCUAAUGGGAUUAACAAGAAUAUACCCACCAAGAAGGCUGUUUGCUUAUGACCAUAUUUAGAUCUAGUCCAUGCAUUGCAUAUAAAUCUGAUUUAUGCUGUAGGGAUGUAUAAAGAUGAAGUCAGACUUGUCACUAACCAUAGUGCUCCCUUGCCAGUGAUGACACUGACCCAUUUAUUUAAGGUUUACAUUUUAUCAAAAUGGGCACAAACAGUAGAAAUUGAUUAUCUGUCAUUAAAUUCAGUAAAUGAAUGGCAGAAACUAGAAUCUAGGUAAGAGCAAUAAGCUAGUGUUUUCUGACCCAAGCUCCUUGAUGCAAAAAUAAACAAGGAAAGCAAAAUACAGCUUUACUGAUACUUGGAAAGAGGACAACAGCCAAAAGCUACUAUUUUCCCCCUUUUAUCUCAUUUUACCUCAGAGAAAAUGAGGCCCCAUCUAUGCUGCCAUAUAAUCCAGAUUAUCAAAGCAGAUAUUCCACAUUAUGUUCUUUGAACUGAAUUAUAUGAGUCUAUACUGCCAGAUAAUCCAAUUCAGGACAGAUAAUCUGGAGUUUAUAUAUCAGUAUAGAAGGGGCUUCACAGGAAAGAGGGAGAGGAAGGUGCAAUAUCUUGCCCUUCCCAGUUUGCUCAAGCAAAAGCAAACUGCUGCAGUUUUCCUAGAUUGUGUCCCUCUUCAUAUAUCACUCUUGCUGUCUUUGACCAUUCUUUUACGUUGUUUGACCACACAUUUCCCAGUUUUCAUCUAUGAAACACUGGCAUGAACAAGGAAGUGACUCAAAAGUUGACCCCUAGUCACCUUUUGUUGGAAAAAGAGGCUUCUUCUGGACCUAAAAUGGGUCAAAACUGUGCUGAAGAUGCUCUCAUGCUCUCUAGGUGGCACUGGGAGAAUUUGGGUACAAAGUCAGAGGAUUAACUCCUCCCCCCCCCCUCCAGUCCCAUGGAGCAAAUGUGGCUGCCCACGUCUAACAAUUGACCACCUUGGAAUUAUGGUAAAUAUUUUCAUUUUAAUAAGCCAUGGCAUAAUUUUCUAAGCAACAACAGAU